rnacentral:hammerhead_ribozyme from 1 species
GCACUGUUGACGAGUACCAAACAGGACGAAACAGCUGUCCAGUGC